CUUCACAUGAAGGAACACACAGCCUGCAUCUGCAGGUACGUGGACUCAGGAGAUGCCCCUAGGCAGGGGACCGGAAAGCCACUGACACUCUAGAGUGACAAUACAGCACCCCUCAUAGACCAUGUGAUGAUUCUGCCAGUACGGUAUCAGCAAGGACAACAGGGUCUCAGCAACACAGGGACCUUGGAUGCACCCCGGGGAAGUUAUCUAAAGUGACGUGACCGUCCAGGGUGCAAGGCCAGGAGCUGGAUGAAGAGACCUGUGUCCCAGCCACGACACUCACAUACCAAAGGGUACAGAGACGGCACUCAGGACCCGCCCAACACAGAACCACCAGGAAGGGGGUCUGCGUUCACAUCUCUGGGCCCACGCGGCAGUGACCAAGGGAAGGGAACAUACAGUACGGGGGACCCAGGCAGACGGAGCGGCAGUGCCAGGCCAGAAACGGGAGCCAGAGUGUGCCUAGAAUAGAGACCGAAUGGAAGGGACAGGAGGACAAAGGCUGGGAAGUCAGAGCCACAGGCCCCUACUGUGAUGGCAUGACAGCCUCCUUCACUCUGAGAGGAAGAGGUCCUAUUUGUGGAUCCCCAGGGCAGAAUCAUCGGAGGACAAAGAAUGAAGUUCCAGGAGUGGAGGCAAGCAUCUAGCAUCCCAGUAUCUGGGGAGUUGAUGAGGCAGGAUGGCCGCCCGCAGUUGGAGACAAAAUCCCAUCCCCAAAUCGCUAUCCCCCUCCCACCCCUGCCAAAAUAAAAGGGAUAAACACA